GGAGAUUGAGAAAAUCAAGUUGAUAUGAACCUUGAUUUUAUAGUGAUGAGCAUUUGACAAAUGUUGAAAUGGCUUUGACGGCAUUUUGGGAUUGAUGAAGCUCUUGUGUCUUUUGCUUGACUCUUUGGCUGUCUUGUGGGAUUUAUCAAGGGGGAGAUUGAGACAUGACUUUAAUGCAACCUAGAAUUUUUGUUUGGAGGUUGCAUAAUCCUUUCUCAUAUCAAGUUGCCUUGUGUUUGCUUUUACAUGGCUUUUGGGCACUUGAAUGAGUUUUUCUCUUGCUUUCAAAUCAUCUUUUGUCAAUGCACUUAUCAAGGGGGAGAUUGAGA
rnacentral:lncRNA from 1 species